UACGGAGGGGGGCUAGCGUUGUUCGGAAUUACUGGGCGUAAAGCGCACGUAGGCGGCUUUGUAAGUUAGAGGUGAAAGCCCGGAGCUCAACUCCGGAAUUGCCUUUAAGACUGCAUCGCUCGAAUCAUGGAGAGGUGAGUGGAAUUCCGAGUGUAGAGGUGAAAAUUCGUAGAUAUUCGGAAGAACACCAGUGGCGAAGGCGACUCACUGGACAUGUAUUGACGCUGAGGUGCGAAAGCGUGGGGAGCAAACAGGG
rnacentral:rRNA from 1 species